AACGAACGCUGGCGGCAGGCUUAACACAUGCAAGUCGAACGCGUGUAGCAAUACACGAGUGGCGCACGGGUGAGUAACGCGUGGAUAUCUGCCUUUUGGUCUGGAAUAACCCCGGGAAACUGGGGCUAAUACCGGAUGGUUCCUUCGGGAUAAAGAUUUAUCGCCAAAAGAUGAGUCCGCGUACGAUUAGCUAGUUGGUGAGGUAAUGGCUCACCAAGGCGACGAUCGUUAGCUGGUCUGAGAGGACGAUCAGCCACACUGGGACUGAGACACGGCCCAGACUCCUACGGGAGGCAGCAGGGGGGAAUAUUGGACAAUGGGGGCAACCCUGAUCCAGCCAUGCCGCGUGAGUGAUGAAGGCCUUCGGGUUGUAAAGCUCUUUUGGCGGGGACGAUGAUGACGGUACCCGCAGAAUAAGCCCCGGCUAACUUCGUGCCAGCAGCCGCCGUAACAC
rnacentral:rRNA from 1 species